rnacentral:tRNA from 1 species
CUUAUCAAGGGGGGAUCAAGGGGGGAUCUGCGCCCCCCUUAUCAAGGGGGGAUCAAGGGGGGAUCGGCGCCCCCUUAUCAAGG